rnacentral:rRNA from 1 species
ACGAACGCUGGCGGCGCGCCUAACACAUGCAAGUCGAACGGAGUCAAGAGGAGCUUGCUUUUCUUGACUUAGUGGCGAACGGGUGAGUAACGCGUGAGUAACCUGCCCUGGAGUGGGGGACAACAGUUGGAAACGACUGCUAAUACCGCAUAAGCCCACGAUCCGGCAUCGGAUUGAGGGAAAAGGAUUUAUUCGCUUCAGGAUGGACUCGCGUCCAAUUAGCUAGUUGGUGAGGUAACGGCCCACCAAGGCGACGAUUGGUAGCCGGACUGAGAGGUUGAACGGCCACAUUGGGACUGAGACACGGCCCAGACUCCUACGGGAGGCAGCAGUGGGGGAUAUUGCACAAUGGGGGAAACCCUGAUGCAGCGACGCCGCGUGGAGGAAGAAGGUUUUCGGAUUGUAAACUCCUGUCGUUAGGGACGAUAAUGACGGUACCUAACAAGAAAGCACCGGCUAACUACGUGCCAGCAGCCGCGGUAAAACGUAGGGUGCAAGCGUUGUCCGGAAUUACUGGGUGUAAAGGGAGCGCAGGCGGACCGGCAAGUUGGAAGUGAAAACUAUGGGCUCAACCCAUAAAUUGCUUUCAAAACUGCUGGCCUUGAGUAGUGCAGAGGUAGGUGGAAUUCCCGGUGUAGCGGUGGAAUGCGUAGAUAUCGGGAGGAACACCAGUGGCGAAGGCGACCUACUGGGCACCAACUGACGCUGAGGCUCGAAAGCAUGGGUAGCAAACAGGAUUAGAUACCCUGGUAGUCCAUGCCGUAAACGAUGAUUACUAGGUGUUGGAGGAUUGACCCCUUCAGUGCCGCAGUUAACACAAUAAGUAAUCCACCUGGGGAGUACGACCGCAAGGUUGAAACUCAAAGGAAUUGACGGGGGCCCGCACAAGCAGUGGAGUAUGUGGUUUAAUUCGAAGCAACGCGAAGAACCUUACCAGGUCUUGACAUCCGAUGCAUAGCUUAGAGAUAAGUGAAGUCCUUCGGGACAUCGAGACAGGUGGUGCAUGGUUGUCGUCAGCUCGUGUCGUGAGAUGUUGGGUUAAGUCCCGCAACGAGCGCAACCCUUAUUGCCAGUUACUACGCAAGAGGACUCUGGCGAGACUGCCGUUGACAAAACGGAGGAAGGUGGGGAUGACGUCAAAUCAUCAUGCCCUUUAUGUCCUGGGCUACACACGUACUACAAUGGCUAUAACAAAGGGAAGCGAUACCGCGAGGUGGAGCAAAACCCAAAAAAGUAGUCUCAGUUCGGAUUGAAGGCUGAAAUUCGCCUUCAUGAAGCCGGAAUUGCUAGUAAUGGCAGGUCAGCAUACUGCCGUGAAUACGUUCCCGGGCCUUGUACACACCGCCCGUCACACCAUGAGAGUUGGGAAUACCCGAAGCCUGUGAGCUAACUGUAAAGAGGCAGCAGUCGAAGGUAGAAUCAAUGAUUGGGGUG